UACAGAGGGGGCAAGCGUUGUUCGGAAUUACUGGGCGUAAAGGGCGCGUAGGCGGCCUGCUAAGUCGAACGUGAAAUCCCCGAGCUCAACUCGGGAACUGCGUCCGAUACUGGUGGGCUCGAAUCCGGGAGAGGGAUGUGGAAUUCCAGGUGUAGCGGUGAAAUGCGUAGAUAUCUGGAGGAACACCGGUGGCGAAGGCGGCAUCCUGGACCGGUAUUGACGCUGAGGCGCGAAAGCCAGGGGAGCAAACGGG
rnacentral:rRNA from 1 species